UGACCUCAUUUACACUGGAGUAAUAAUUAGUACUGCUUCACUGACAGUUAAGAAAAAAAGUUUCACAGUAUAAUAAGGCAGCAUCUCCUUUGUUAAGAUCUACAUUGAUUAUUAACCCUUGCCAUGAAAACCCAAAUUUAACUCUGCAUUGUGUGUCCUAAUGCUAUGGCAACCCCACCCCUAACACUAACAAAGGCUCCCAACUGCACCCACCAACGUACAGCAGUGGUUGGCAUCAGAGCAGGCAGGAUGGGGUGGCAAGGCUUGGUAGGUGAAGAUAUCAGCGUCCAAAGUGUUUUCAGAAAACUCACAAUCUUUUGAGGGCUUCCACGAAAACUCAAGUUGAAUCAAAGAGCAGGAAUCCCUCCUCCAUUCUCCUUCUUCAUCCCCACCUGCCAGUCCCCUGGAACAGCCAAGUGCAAAGUGGAGCACAGCCAACGUCACCAGCAUCCACAGCUCAUCAUCGUGGGGCUGCUCCCCUGGGUAACACUGCACAGCAUUCACUGUCCAGAAUGAGUUUUUAUGCAAAGACAUGUUCUGAAAGGCCAACCAGGCUUUAGGCUCCAACUCCCACCAGCCAAGCACCUGAACUAGCAGCCCCACAAAUAUCCCACAUCCUUCACCUUUCCCCAUAUUUGUUAUGGAAUUCAACCCUAAUCUUCAUUGUUGACCUUAAAAUAGUCAAAAUUGGCACGCUGUAAUGCAGCUGGGCAAUGCAGGAAGCCCAUCCUUCAUCUUCUCCUCACUCCUGCCCUGAAAUGGAGGACAAAGCCCAUCAGCCAAGUCGAGGGGCACUGGGAGCAGCCUCCCCCCAGAAUCAGUCACUCUCCUGAAGUCAGCAUCCGCUGGAUCCUGAUCACACAUCAUUUCAAUAGCACGUUGCUUCAAGAGGGAUGGCGUCAACUUACUAUGGAAACGGAAAUGGACAAGAUGCAACCUUUGCACUAAUGUCUACACACAGAUCCAGGAUUAGGCAAGCAUACAGGAGCAGCCCACACUCAACACCAUUUAAAAUAACCCGUGAACCAAGUUUUCAGUCAUACGAUAUAGAACAGUUACUACGAAAAUUCCAAAAAUAAGCAACCUGAGAGUCUUCUGAAGGACUAUUUCAACUCAUUUCAACUUUCGGGCUUGUAGGCCUUGUAAGGGCAAUCAGCAGCAAAAGUUACAGGGUCUGCAGGACUGAGCCCAUUGUCAAGCAGUUGCUUGGAAGAUUCAAAUAUUUUUUUCUUCACUGGUGUGCACUUAAUGAUAGGGUUGCCUGAAAGACGUUGGUAUGGAAAAGUAUAGGGAAAAAGCAAAUCUCAAAUUCUCAUCCAAGGGCAGCUGGUAACAGGUAUUUGCCAAAUAAUAAAAGACAGCUUUAUGAUGUAUCUAGCUCCAUAGGAGCACCUCAAAUUAUAACCAUAAUUGAAGUUAACAAUAAGAAAAAAUACGCAUGGUCAAGGACUAAGGGUGUCCUGUCAGAUCCUUGUUGUCAUCAAGAACAACAAUCCAUUGAUACGCAACUGAGCUCUGCUUCUACUGAAACAAUCAUCAAUUCACAGUUUUAAAAGAGAAUAAAAUAUACUUAUGAAACGAUA